AAGUCGUAACAAGGUAUCCGUAGGUGAACCUGCGGAUGGAUCAUUAAGAAGCAUCCUUUUUACUAUUAUAAAGGUCUUCAACCCUUGUGGUCUAAUAGAUUUGUAUUAGUUGGGUUAAAUUGAUCAACUAAACACAUGCGUGUUUGAUUGAUUUGCCCGACAUCAUCAUACUAAACCAUAUCACUUUUAUACAUUACUGACUGAUGUUGCCUUGCGACUAUUGUGAUUCUUCAUUGAUGAUGAUCAAAAGUAACAAGUAAAACAAUUGUAAUCUUAAUACAACUGCUAGCAACGGAUCACUCGGCUCUCAC
rnacentral:misc_RNA from 1 species